GACGGAGGGUGCUAGCGUUGUUCGGAAUGACUGGGCGUAAAGGGCGCGUAGGCGGCCGCUUGCGUCGGAUGUGAAAGCCCGGGGCUCAACCCCGGAACGGCAUCCGAUACGGAGCGGCUCGAGACCGAGAGAGGUGAGUGGAAUACCCCAGUGUAGAGGUGAAAUUCGUAGAUAUUGGGUGGAACACCGGUGGCGAAAGCGGCUCACUGGCUCGGUUCUGACGCUGAGGCGCGAAAGCGUGGGGAGCAAACAGG
rnacentral:rRNA from 1 species